rnacentral:rRNA from 1 species
UACGGAAGGCAGCAGUGGGGAAUAUUGCACAAUGGGCGCAAGCCUGAUGCAGCCAUGCCGCGUGUAUGAAGAAGGCCUUCGGGUUGUAAAGUACUUUCAGCGGGGAGGAAGGCGAUGCGGUUAAUAACCGCGUCGAUUGACGUUACCCGCAGAAGAAGCACCGGCUAACUCCGUGCCAGCAGCCGCGGUAAUACGGAGGGUGCAAGCGUUAAUCGGAAUUACUGGGCGUAAAGCGCACGCAGGCGGUCUGUUAAGUCAGAUGUGAAAUCCCCGGGCUUAACCUGGGAACUGCAUUUUGAACUGGCAGGCUUGAGUCUUGUAGAGGGGGUAGAAUUCCAGGUGUAGCGGUGAAAUGCGUAGAGAUCUGGAGGAAUACCGGUGGCGAAGGCGGCCCCUGGGACAAAGACUGACGCUCAGGGUGCGAAAGCGUGGGGAGCAAACGAGGAUUAGGAUACC